rnacentral:lncRNA from 1 species
CGCGGAGCACGCCGGAUCUCUGGAGAGACAAGUGUGUGCUAGCUGUCUGGAAGUUAAGGGCAGCGUCCCCGGUUGUACGGUUGGUGCAAAAACCACAAGACCUUGAGUCAACAAUGUGGCGGGAGCUGAAUCCUUCUUCUGCUCCUCCUGGGAUUGUGUGAGUAUGGGACACAUUUGGUGGGAUCCCCCAUUCAAGAUGGACUUUGAGUAAGCUGAAAGUCUGAUGACCAAAUCAACUCUAUGGGCAUUCAACCCUCUUGCCACUGAACUACAGACACUGGACAGUACAACCCCAUCCUCUUUAGGUUUACAGACUUGGGUGAAAAGGCUAAUGGAUUGGACUGGUUCAGCUGGUGUGAAGGUGAACAGUCCUCUGAGGGGGAGUGAGUAUGAAUAUAGGAAAUACAGAAGACUCAGAAACGAAGGUUAGAAAUUAGGAGGACUGUAGGUCUAUACUACACUAACCCUGAAUGUAUUUCUGAUAGCCUUUAUAUACUUUACAGUAUCGUGGGAAACAAAGUCACAAGGUAGAAGAGCAAAUGGCCGAUGUACAUAGGAUAUCUAUUCCCAUCUAGAGGCCUCCCUGUUCCUUCCACCAAGAUUAAUAGAAUAUUCAGCCACUCACCUCAGUCUUCAAGUGUAUCCCCUCUUAGUGAUUCAAGAGUCAGCAGACAGGGAAACCUGCUAGCAGACUCUGAUCUGCCUUGACUACCUGACAGGAAAGCUUUCACAGAAGCAGGUCAAAAUGUCUCCUGACAUCUCCCUCUUUUUUAUUUUAUAAAAGCCAAAGCUGUCUCAGUGAUUGGUGCAAAAAGAGUGUGCCUGUCUUAGAUGUCUUCUCAAAAACUGCGAAUCUUACCCAUCUUCGGAACAUGAAUCCUGGCACUCAUAUCCUGUCUUAAGUUGAUCCACCUCUGAGGCAAUCUUACCCAUAUUUUACUAGCAGCCUCUGCAAUGGGGGAUGUUACCCAUUAGGUUACAGUUUUGAGACAAAUAAGAUGGAGACCUGCAUGGAUGUUCAAAAAGUAAUGGAGGGCAAACUUAAUCACAAGUGGUAACAAGUAUAAUCCUAUAACCAUUAGAGUACCUAAGGCAAGUACUGAGAAGGCCAAAUGAGUAAAAGAAAUUAGAAAGUAUGCCCUUACCAGCCUUGAGCAGGUUUUUUCCAGCCUUGAGCAGGCUGAUUAGACCUUGAGCAUUUGCCAUAUUGGACAAUAAAGACCUAGGUGGAGUCAUCUGCCUUGGUUGCAUAUGCAACUUCCUACAGGAACUUUGAAUAGACUGCCUGUUGACCUUGCUUUGCUCUGAAACAAAGGAUGGGUCUGUGGGCUCUCCCUAUAUAAAUGAAGUGCCGAAUAUUAAACUUGGAGCCUUGAUCAGAACCUUGUCUUGGCUUCAUUCUUCUCUCACUGCCCCCUUCCCCAUCUCUUUCAUUUCCAGUGCCACCUUUCAGGUAAACCCAGUUUGUCCAUGGUCACUGGACAGCUAUAGAUGGCAUCCUAUAAUAAAAUGAGGGGCCUGAAAAUGGGGGGGGGGCUCUGAGAAAUGCUGUCUUGGGUGGAGCUCCACAGAAAACAGAAACAAGUAACAGUAUCCUGCACGGUAAGCAAUGAACAGCAUUAAUGCUAGCGCUAAUUAUAUUUUUUUGGAGGCUGUUGUUGCAGGAGGUGCAUUUGAGAGGGAUACAGGCUAGACCAAAGAUGUGUUGAUCCAAUGCCAACUUCACCUAUGGAUGACAGCACAAUUGCAUUUUUCCACAGCCAAAAAGAGCUGCAUCAGGUGAGAGAAGCAGGGUUUAAAAAACAGAUGUUAGAAAAAUUCUUAGCUCAAGUAGAUUUAUGCUGUCCAUGGUUUCCAGAAGUAGGAAUGAUAAAAGCUAUUGUAGAGCUCUCCUAGGAACAGGAAGAAAUUGGGAGAUAUCCUGCUUCCUCUCUGGCUCCUACUGGAGAUAUCCUUAGUUCUGGUUCUGGGUCUCUUAGGGAGGAUAUCUGGGUCUCUUUGGGACAUCAAGUUUUCUUCCCUCUCUGUCUAUUGUCUGUCCUUGGUGCAACAAUCUGUCCAACAAUCUGUCAGUGAAUUUAUGUCUGUUUUUGUUUGUUUGAAUGAUUGCUGUUCUGUGCUUCAUGUUCAUUGGUUGCCUUCAUACGGGAUCACUUUCAGCAAGCUCAGCUAUUCACCGUGGCAGUUAUUCAUCAGUAUGAAGAAAUGCAUUAAGUGCAUAUUCAUAUGUUCUAUGUGGCUUUGGUCUGAAUAGGAAAGAGUAUGAUAUAGGAAACCAGUAGUCAGAGUUGGGUAAGAGUGUUCUUGAGCUCCUAUCGACCUAGGACAGAGACAUACAUCAAUGCUAUGUUUAUCCUCCAUGAUGGGUAAGAAGGAGCAAUAUAGACACUGACCUAAGACAGGUACAAUCACCUGGCCACUCUUUACCCUAGACAGGAUUAUGGAAAACAAGUAAAUCUUGUGCCCCCAGCCAGCAAUUGGUACUCCUCAUCUUUAAAAAGCAAAAAAGGGGGGAUUGUGCCCUUCCCAGCCUUGAGCACGUUUUUUUUUCUGCCUUAAGCAGACUGAAUAGACCUUGCCAAAUUAGACGUUAAUGACCUAGGUGGAGUCAUCUGCCUUGGUUGCACAUGCAACUUCCUCCAGAAACUUAGAAAAACAGACUUCUCACUGACCUUGCUUUGCAACAUAAUCCACCUGAAACAAAGGAUGGAGUCUGUGAGUGCUCCUAUACAAAUGCAGUGCUGAAUAUUAAUAUGGAGCCUUGAUCAGAACCUUGUCUUGGCUUCAUUCUUCUCUCGCCGCUCCUGCCCCCUGCCCCCCCCAAGUCUCUUUCAUUUUCAGCUACCCUUUCAGGUAAACCCAGUUUGUCCAUGGCUCCUGGACAGCUACAAAAAGGCAUGCUUUUUCUUAAUUUCUCUAACCAUUCAGAGGCAACUUUUGUAGCAUCAAAUUUCAGGGGUUUAGCAUCAUUUAGAUUCAGAUUUCUUGAUGUAAUUGAAUUCAAUCCAACACUUGCAAGACUCUAUCUCCAUACCAAGGUUCUGAAACAUUGAAAGCAUAACAAAUGAAGGUUGAUGAAGUACCAUAGCAAUGUCAGAUGUACAAUUAGUUAAGUUACAGUCAUAGCAACUUACAUUGAAUCUAAACCCAUACACAGUGAUGUUAAUUUUCUCUGUCAACAAUGCAUAUGGCAGGGAAAUGCAGGCAAGUACAUUUCCCACUGUUGUCAGUCUGAACCCAACCUAGUGUUCAUCUCUGUUUAGUAGUUGUGCUAGUUGCUUUAAUCUCUCCCAAAGCCACAGCAAGUUUCCAGACAUAAGUCUGUGAUGAUCCAGUGUUUGUCCACCAAAGUCCUGCAUGCAGUCCUUUUUACCAGUCAUCUGAGUUUGCUUGGGGACUCUGCUCAAGUUGGCAUCAGGAAGUGGCCCAUCAGCAACAGCAACAGCAUCAUGUGUCUGGUCAAUUGCUUUCUCCACAUAGUGAACCAAAUGCUCUGGAAUCUACCUGUCACUUUCAGCAUCCUGUGGAAAAGAGAAACAUGCCCUCUUCCCCAUAUUAAUAUCUGAUCAGAACCAUGCCAUAUGUCAGUAAGUGGGUCCUUCCAUUUCACCUGGGCAUAAGUAUACCUAGUUGUGCCGUGCCAUAGAUGCUUAGCAGCAACAUUUUAUUUUAUUUUUUUGUAACUGAUUUUUUUUUAGAGCUCCAUGGAAUUGUUCCACAAUUCCCUGUCUUUGUGGAUUAAAAAAUAUAUUACUAUAUAUCUAACUAAUUACUAUAUAUCUAACUAUAUAUUACUAUAUAUCUAACUUAUAAUAUUUUAAAAAUAUUUUUAUUAUUAGUUUAAGAUAUAAAUGGUUUAUAACAUAAGUCUGAACUUUUAUAAAUAUAAGGUAUAAAACUUUACAUAAAUGUUAAAACAAAUUCUUUUUAAAAUAAAUUAUAUAUUUUAAACCUGGCCACAAAAUUCUGGAACAACUCAAUCUGGACCCUGCCCAAUUCCAGAAAAAUCCUCCGUCUGCCUCUCUGUAGAAGAUAAGUUUAUACCAGGCUUUCUUAGUUUAACCUAAUCAUUAACUUGUGCAUAAACAGGACAUAAGAGAAAUACAUCUGAAACUGAGUUGGAAGCUUCCCCUCUGCUGCCUAGCUUUUACAGGCCUGGAAGGUGCUACACAGGUUGCUGGGGUGAGCUGUCACCAACAGAUGCUAUUGGCUUCAGCAUGCUACUCUCCUGGCCUGGCUGGCACACAAGCUGUGGCUACUGGUGCAACAGUGGCAUGACUGAUACAGAGGUAACCAACAACUUUCUGAUGGUAUUUGUGCCAGUUCCAUGGAAGAAAACUCACAUCCUGACAGUGAACCUGGUCAAAAGCUUGUGGCUCGAGAGGUUUGCAGGGCUAUGUGAGGUAUUUACAAGUUCAACAGUGACACAUUUCACAUUUCAACAAUCAACAGCAUCGAUCCAUUCAAUAAGACAAGAUAAUGGCUCACAUGCACCAGUACAUAAGAUCUUAAAUGUGCAUUUUGGUUUUUUUUUUCUUCAGCUCUGAAACAAACAAAAAAAGAUUUUUCACUAGUCCUAAGUUGAAAGACAUCUCUUAAUAAAGAUCAUACUUCUU